rnacentral:rRNA from 1 species
GACGAACCGUACGAACGUUAUUCGGAAUUACUGGGCUUAAAGGGUUUGUAGGCGGCCUUGUAAGUCAGGUGUGAAAUCCCUCGGCUCAACCGAGGAAUGGCGCUUGAUACUGCAAGGCUUGAGGGAGACAGGGGUAAGCGGAACUGAUGGUGGAGCGGUGAAAUGCGUUGAUAUCAUCAGGAAUACCGGUGGCGAAAGCGGCUUACUGGGUCUCUUCUGACGCUGAGGAACGAAAGCUAGGGUAGCGAACGGG